CCUUGGCUCUGGCUGUUUCCCUAAGGUCUGUCAAAGGUGAUGCUGUAGUGCUGCCUGCUACCAGCAGGACCUCAGCACCCUUGGUGCUUCAGUGGUUCAGGUCUAUGGUGGUUUCUACUGUUGUGAUAAAACACCAUGGCCCAAACCAAUCUGGGGUAGACCUGUCAACUCACAGUCAACAGCUCACCAGGAGAGGAAGCUGAGACAAGAGCUGAAGAAGACCCCGAAAAACACUGCUUACGGGCUUGUUCCUCU
rnacentral:sRNA from 1 species